UACGGAGGGUGCAAGCGUUAAUCGGAAUUACUGGGCGUAAAGCGUGCGUAGGCGGCUUUUUAAGUCAGAUGUGAAAGCCCUGGGCUUAACCUGGGAACUGCAUUUGAUACUGGGGAGCUAGAGUUGAGUAGAGGAGAGUGGAAUUUCAGGUGUAGCGGUGAAAUGCGUAGAGAUCUGAAGGAACAUCAGUGGCGAAGGCGGCUCUCUGGACUCAAACUGACGCUGAGGUACGAAAGCGUGGGUAGCAAACAGG
rnacentral:rRNA from 1 species